AGUGUAGCUCAGUUGGUAGAGCACCGGUCUCCAAAACCGGGUGUCGUCGGUUCGAGCCCGGCCACU
rnacentral:tRNA from 1 species